ensembl:lincRNA Gm17638 predicted gene, 17638
GGUCAUGACGCCAUCGUGCUCACAGCGGACGAUAAGGUCAAUGUCAUCUCCAAGCUUCCAUCUGCGGUAACUAUGAGGACAGCAAGACGCACUCACUACAAGAUCCACCGCUGUGGAUGGACCACCCCAGACAGCACAGGACAGGGUCACCUGUCCCCUGGAGCUGACUUACCGUUCAUAAAUGGGAAGAGGAGGAGGAGGAAGAGGAAGAAGAGAAGGAGGAGGAGGAAGAGUCCUAUGCAUAUAACACACAGCCACAGCGCUGGUGUGAGGACUCAGAGCUGAAGCGCACAGAAGCACUGAAGUGGUCUCUUUGCUUGGACUCUAGAGGACGGGAGGGAUCAUCACACUGCUCAUUCUUAUUCGUAAGAACUGACAACACUCAUGCCUACCAAAGUCAGAGUUGUCCCUCUUGUCAAAAAAGAGUUUAGAGCCGACUCUCUGGACAACGAUGUCCCAGGAGUACACGGAGCGGGUGCAGCUCAUCAGCGUGGCCAGGAUGGCAUCGGUGGCAAACACAUUGCCCUGCGUUUUUGCCAGCUGAAAGCAGGGAGAGAGGGACAAGAGAGUGAACUGAGGAUGCUGAGGUCACUUGGGAAGGAAGACAUGCCCAGUCAGUCAUGGAGGCUGCAGCAAAUAGGCUGGGCUGUCACUGUAGCAGGCCGUGGUGGAAGCAUGGCCCUCACUCCACUCACUAGUUUCCAGCCAAGCCACCCCUCUACCUUUGUAGGUAAGAAAGCUAAGGCUCCAGGGCAGCAAACUCAGGCUGGCAGAGCUGGAAUCUGAGCACGCCUCUGCUCAACAUAUUUAAGUGUAUCCACUUCCAUCAAACUCUAAGUGUGUUGUGGUAGAACCUCAUCUAAGGGCUGGGCUAUGCAGUCACUUGUUCCUGUGGGGUCUCGGCAAUCAAUCCACAUGUUCAGGGGAGAAAACGUGCCUGACAAGCAUGCACACUUUCUCUUUGUCAGGUUCCUCAAACAACAGUGUAACAACUGCUUAUGUAGUAGCAUCCAGUGUCUUAGGUGUGGUGGGCAAUCCAGAAGGAUCUGAAGCAUGGAAGAUUGCUAGGGCUGACAGGCGAGUCACAUCACCGGUACUGGAGCACCCAUGGCUUUUGGUAUCAUGGGGUGGUCCUGAAUCAGACCCUGUGAACACUGAGGGACACCUGCACGACUUGUGCCCUGUUCUUUCUGAGGCCUCAGCAACAUUCCCAAAGGUGGGCAAAGGGUGCACACCUUCCGGAUGACAGGGUCGUCUGUGGUGGUGACGGUGUGAAAGAUGCGCUUGAUGCUCCGCAGGGGCUUCUCACUCCUCGUGGUGAUGCGGUCAAAGGCUUUGUCGUAGUACUCCAGGGCUCCGCAGCACUCGCUGGGGGGAGAGGGGAAAAAAAAAAAAUCACAGAGAUCCUCCUUCCUCUUUUAUGCCAUGGAAUCGGAAGUCAGAUCUAUUGGGCAUGCCUGGCACUGCAGGGUGCGUGUCUGCAAUCCCAGGGUUAGGGAGGCAGAUGCAGGAGGAUGGCAAAUUAAAAAACCUCAGCUACACUGGAGGGUCCAUCUCAGAAAAUAAACUUCACCCAGAAGUUCAGUAUAUAUGAAAGAGAUGGCAUUCAUCUCUCUGAAAAUGAGACAAAUCUUUAGUGUUAGUUUAGUUUCCUUGUCUUCGCAGCUUCCAAUGUUCCUCUGUAGAACACAGGGAAAGCCCUUACAGUGAACCUUCCCUGGGAAACUGAGCCCAUUAUAGAGGCUCCCAGAUAGAUGGACUUCUGGGUUGAAGCUCUGGCUCUCCACUGACUUAGCUCUAUGUCCUUGCCCUCUGGUGCACGAUGCUACACAAAACGGAGUCUCCUGAACAACUGUCAUGCCUCUCCUGCCCCAAAAGCUUAGUGACUGAACUACUGGGCUUUUUCUCGGAUGCCAAGAGUGGAAAGAAACUGGGACUUUUAGUAAACAAUGCAUUUUUUAAAGUGGGUCUUGAUCUUUCAAAAACAUACCUACCUGUCCCUAGCACUGUCAGUGGCUUCAAACCUGCUUUGGAGUUGCUCGGACUUAGGGAGACACUGACCCCUGCAGGCAGACACUGGAACCCGGGUGGGCACCAGGAAGAGGCUACUCACAUGUCUUGAGGCUCUGACACUUCCAAGUAGCGCAUCUUCAUCAGCUGAGGGAAGUCCAUCUCCUCCUUCACCUCCCAGUCACUGCGGACUUCAACUGAGGAGUCUCGGGGUUUCUGCAGAGGAAACACAGGAAGGGCUUUCAUUCAAUAUGGUCCCGGCUGUUUUUUUUUAAGUUCAUUUUUGUUUAUUGUAUUUAUUUUAUGUCUGGGUGCUCUGCUGCAUGUACACCUGCAGGCCAGAUGAGAGCAUCAGAUCCCUUUACAGAUGGGCAUGAGCUACCACCUGGGUGUUGGGAAUUGAACGCAGGACCUCUGGAAGAGCAGCCAGUGCUCUGAAAAGCUGAGUCAUCUCAUUAGCCUGGUCCUAGCUGUUUUUAAGCAGGGUCCGUGACUCGUGGCAGCUCAGAGAAGGAAGCAGGGCCUCAGUGUGGGGCUUCUCAGGGUGUCAAGCACAUGCCUGAUACAACAAGCAGCUAAGUCAACAUGCAUCUUCACGACUUUAUCACCCUACAACACUAGGGAGUGAAGCCGAGUUUCUGUGCCCGAAAAACAGCUGCUUUGCUGUUGGCAACACUCCUGGCCCAAACUCCACUUCUGGUCAUGUCUGUUAUGCUCACAGCUCCCACAAAGAUGGCAGUGUUAUACCUAACAGUGCCAAAGUGGAAAGAUGAAUGGCUGAAGGAAAUGUGGCAACCCAUACAAAAAACCACUCUUGGGCAAAAAGACUCCAUGUCUGCGAGCUUUACACCAGCAGGUCUGUACCCAGUCACAUGUAAACUGAAAAUCCUUGGAUGCUCAGCAUGCUGGAAAUCCCACCUACUGGGUGGCUGACAGAGGAGGAUCACCCGAGAGUUAAAAUGAUACUUUCAACCCAAUAUAUAAUCCAGAGGCAAGCUAAAGUCCACGAGGGGACACACAUAAGAUACAUGCAGAGAAGGUCAGUGCACACAAAUCUUGAUCUCUGAGGGUACCUGGAACCAAUCCUUAACAGACAUGAAGGAAAAGUGAAAAGACUGUGCUAACACGGGCUGUGAUGUGACCUUAAGAGUGGCACACUAACUAAAGGGCACAGAGUAUGAUCCCAUUGUACAUGAAAUGCCCGCGGGCAUCAGGGGACGAGUGCCGAGACAUCUCUUAAGGUCAAAGAAAACAAACCCAUCCAAGUCCCCACAGAGUCCCAGGAGGGACACUACCUGUGACUUCUGGUCCCAUUUUUGCCUCACUCCAAAUUGCUUCUGGAAUUUUUUCUGCAAGCGAAUUCGUUCUCUGAAAAGACAGACAAAAUGCUGUGAUUUCAGUGUCGGCUUCUAGCUGAAUUGCAUCACCCUUCCUAGCUGCUACCAGGAUAGAAAAUAGGGGCUUAGAUGCAGACACCAUGUAGGCACACACUGGGGAUUCGAGCAGAGGUGCACUACUAGUAUCAACCAGCAUUCAGCCCAGUUACUCCCAUGGCAGCCCUGGCUAUGGUGCAGUGGCUGCUGUGCCCAUCCCCAAGGGCCCAUCAGAUAUAGCAUAAGUGGUGCUGCCUGGAACCAGGCAUCCAGAAUCUAGAGGCCACAGAGCCCCUUCAAAUGUCCGCCUCAACCACCUCCUGCCUGUCUGCUAUUGCCCAGUCUUGGACAGCAAUAGGUGAGGAGGUUUUGGUUUCCUUUUCAAGAGUGAAAGGUAGCCAGUCCCCGCCCUGGCUCUGUGAUUUCUGAACACAGCCCAUUUGGGAACAUGACUCUGACUUAGCAGGAAGGGAUGCUCACCUCUCUUUCUGCUUGGCACUCUUGGGCAGUGUCUGUAGGUUGAACUGCACCAUGUUCCUCCGAUCUUUGUCUCUGCGGAGGUUCCGCUGGGGAGCAGGAAGAGACCCAUGUUAACCCCUUGGAGACAAGGCUCAUGGUAUCUUUAGAGUAAGUUUACGGCAUGAGUUCUAAGUUUCACAUCUCUUUACUUUUACUCUACAGCGGCUACAGAAUUUGGGCUAAGGGGAGUAGCACUUGUGUUAGCUUGGAGUGUCAUUCCUACUUUAAUGUGGGUAUACUAGUUUUAUUGGAGUUGCAAAGUUUACAACAUUAUGUAGCAGGAGGCACCCUACCAAACCAUGUAAUUAACAAAGGUUGUACAUGACAAGUCAGCAAGGCACUGGGUUCCCAGCACAGCUGUGUGAUGUCUGAACUACUGUGAACAAAAAUCUAAACUCCUUUAAUG